UACAAUUUAAUGUAUGAUGCAUAAAGAAUUUUGAAUUCUUUAGGUUUGGUUUAAUUCCAAAAUUUGUAG
rnacentral:tRNA from 1 species